rnacentral:rRNA from 1 species
UGGGGAAUAUUGGACAAUGGGCGAAAGCCUGAUCCAGCCAUGCCGCGUGUGUGAAGAAGGUCUUCGGAUUGUAAAGCACUUUAAGUUGGGAGGAAGGGCAUUAACCUAAUACGUUAGGGUUUUGACGUUACCGACAGAAUAAGAACCGGCUAACUCUGUGCCAGCAGCCGCGGUAAUACAGAGGGUGCAAGCGUUAAUCGGAAUUACUGGGCGUAAAGCGCGCGUAGGUGGUUUGUUAAGUUGGAUGUGAAAGCCCCGGGCUCAACCUGGGAACUGCAUCCAAAACUGGCAAGCUAGAGUACGGUAGAGGGUGGUGGAAUUUCCUGUGUAGCGGUGAAAUGCGUAGAUAUAGGAAGGAACACCAGUGGCGAAGGCGACCACCUGGACUGAUACUGACACUGAGGUGCGAAAGCGUGGGGAGCAAACA